rnacentral:rRNA from 1 species
CCGCGCGAGGGCUCCUUCGCCUCCUCCCGGGCCCGCGUUAAAGUGUUUCAAGGCCCCUCCUACGGCUAUCUCUACGGCGCCCCCGAGGGGAAGCGGCACCUGUGCACCCCGGGGAGGAGGGCGGCGGCCGCGGUGGCGAAGGAGUGGGUGCGCGUGGCCCUGGUGGAGCAGCCGCGGCGGCCCCGGCCGGGGCCUCCUCCUCCCCCGCGGGAGAUGCGGUGGGCGGAGUGGAACAGGGAGCGGGAGGCGGUGAAGGGGGUCGACCUGGUCCCCCUCAAACACCUCCAGCUCCACCCCUCCUGCAAGUUCCACCUGCUGGGGCGGCCGCGGAAGAGGCAGUGGCGCAUGCUACGGUUGGUGACGGGACCCCGUCAAUACAAGAACAAACUCCCACUUAAGCCAUCGUAUGACGUGUGCCCACUGACGGCUGACUGUGGUCUAACACGAGUCUUGAACGGUGACUUUAUGUAUCGUUUCUUUCCCUUUCUGUUACAAACAGCAAAUCUGAAGCACAAGGACCUGACGUGUAAAAGGUUUACGAAGGAGUUUGAUGGUUCGUUCCUCAACCGUUAGGUCGUCCAAUAUCGAACAUAUACCUUCGUAGGCCUACGUGGAAAACAUAUAGAACGAACACUGGAAGAACCAGUGCUUCUCUAGGAUCAACUCCACAAGUCCUGCAAACCUAGCUUUUAAAUACAACUGUGCUCUUCCUUAAGUCUAACAAAAUUUCGCGACAGUGAGUGUCGGGGACUCUAGUAGUGACUACUAGGUAGAACAGCGAAAGUCUAUCAACCUAAGGUGGUAAACAUACUAUUACGUUCAUUUUUCGAACUUCCCCGUUCCCGAUCAGAAGUCGGCCUCGGAAAUAAGUAGGCGGGGAGUUGCGUCACCAUACGGACACCGGCUUUGGUCUUUGGGUCGGAUUGUCUUCGAGUCGUCCUACUAAAACCCUAGACCGUACAGACAAAGAGGUAAGUGAGAAGGGCCCUGCUCAACCUCGUCCGCUACGUUGAAGAAGUUGGAGUUACCCAGUAGAGUUGUUGAGGGGGUACGAAACGGUACCUCGACUCGAUACACUUCUUUGUAACAAAGUUCUGAGCGAACUGUUGAUUACUAGGUAACACCUUCUAUAAGUCCCUAGGAGAAGUUUUCAGUCAUUGGAGCGGGAGUAGCCACGAACGAAGAACGUGCGUCGGUCUACUUCAAGAGAGUUGAAAACAACUACUACUAGUAGGUUGAAGACGGUCACUUCUUACGUGUCUAAAACUACAGUCGUGUGAACUUGACGUUAAACACGGUAGGGGAGGUCAACUUCUUGGUCUAUAAUGUAACAAACCUUCUCGUUCUAAACCAAGAGUUCGCUAACUGUAUUACUUUCUUCUCAACACGGUGGUCAUGUAACGACGUCGACUUGUUUGGUCUAAAACACGUGGCCUUCUAAACGAAGUACUAUCGUCGGUUUUACAACUUUGUAUAAGACCAUACCUAAACUAGUGUUUCGUUCGGGGUCGAAGGGUUGUUCUAACACCCCUUCGACCUCUACACCGGGGGAGGACAGUCACACGGCUUCGACCUCUACACCGGGGAAGGAGAGUCACAUUUCGUGGUGGGGGUUGGUAUGGUCUUCGUAAACGUCAAGUUGGAAACGGAUGACAACUUGUGUUAUAUAGUCAUCACAGACUAGUUGGUCUUUUCAGACUGUAAUAUUAUCUCGGUUAUAGAUGUUCGUGAUGCCUUUCAAGUUCGGAAGCGUACCAGUCUUUACGUGUUCAUUGUCUUACAGUUUGCCUGGUGGACACACAGUAACCUAGUAGCUUUAGAAACGUACGUUCAGACUUCUCCGACAUGUCUAGCUCCUUACAGGGACAGGGCGUAGGAGAGGGCAGAGAACAACCUGAAAACCUUAGGUGAUUUGCCCAGUUUUCCGCUGGACCGAGACUAAUAUCGAACAACUUAAGUGCCGUGUCGGAUGGAACUUCUAUUCUAGCUCGAAUAUGGAACGGAAGUUAUACUCUAUAUAAAAUAUCGUGUAUGCUGUUUAUAUCUGUUUAUACCUGGCACUUCAUAAGUCUAAGAACUCUAAUAUCACAACGGUUGAUUUAAUGAAGUUGCUUAUAUAGACCUCUCGUAUACACACAAACAUAAACUAUAUACCCAAAACUUUACAAUACAACAUGUAGUUCGACAACAUUAAAGUGUUCUAAUGAGACACUCUAUUUAUUUCCAAAAAGAAGAUGGUAAAAAAACCAUCUUCGGACACCGGUUUGACGACGGUUGAUGAGAUAACCAAUAUUCUUUUAGACCCACCUGAAAAC